AUGAACGCUGGCGGCGUGCCUCAUACCUGCAAGUCGAGCGAACAGACGAGGAGCUUGCUCCUUUGACGUUAGCGGCGGACGGGUGAGUAACACGUGGAUAACCUACCUAUAAGACUGGGAUAACUUCGGGAAACCGGAGCUAAUACCGGAUAACAUGUUGAACCGCAUGGUUCAACAGUGAAAGACGGUCUUGCUGUCACUUAUAGAUGGAUCCGCGCCGCAUUAGCUAGUUGGUAAGGUAACGGCUUACCAAGGCAACGAUGCGUAGCCGACCUGAGAGGGUGAUCGGCCACACUGGAACUGAGACUCGGUCCAGACUCCUACGGGAGGCAGCAGUAGGGAAUCUUCCGCAAUGGGCGAAAGCCUGACGGAGCAACGCCGCGUGAGUGAAGAAGGUCUUCGGAUCGUAAAACUCUGUUAUUAGGGAAGAACAAAUGUGUAAGUAACUAUGCACGUCUUGACGGUACCUAAUCAGAAAGCCACGGCUAACUACGUG
rnacentral:rRNA from 1 species